UUUUUCUCACUUUGUCACCCUAUUAGAGCUAUUCAUAGGGUUGUCAAUUGGAAAAUUUUGGGUUGGAUCCAAACCGAUCCAAAUCUUAUCAAGUCAGUUUUCAACAAUCCAUUAUAGUUAUUGGGUUGGGUCAACCCAAAAUAAAAUCGCUUGUAUUAUUAUUGGUUUGAAUCGGCCCAAAACCAGAAACCAAUAGUUCAAAACCAAAAACCCUACCAAUUUGAAUCGAAACCAGACGCUAAGACAAGAAACUUUCGGCGGUCGUCUGAAGCAACUCUUCUCCGAUGCUCUGAAAAAACUGUUCGAACGUUCGAAGCAAUUCUUCUCCGACGGUCGUCUAUCAGGUGGCUCUUCUCUUUGUGGAAAGCAUUCUCCUCGACGGUUCGAAGAAACUCUGGAAAUCUAUAAGACUGGAACAUGAUUCUCUCGCUCUCUGUCAAGCGUUCUCUCCGGCGGUCAUCCAUCAAGUGGUUCUUCUCUUUGGCGGUUUGAAGCAACUCUAGACAUCAAGAUUUUCUCACUCUUCUCUCUCAGACGGAAAUAGGACUUUGGAUCCAUGUUUAGCCUAGUAAAGGCUGUUGGAGCCGCCUUAGAUUAGUUCUUGUGAUGGAAGACUGGAUAAAUAUUUUGUCAGGUUUGUUACUGAGCUUCGUUAAAUGGCAGAGGAAUCUCCCAUAGAACAAAUUAUUUUGAAGCCCAAAAAGGUCUCCCAUGUCUGUCUAGACAUCCUUUAUUCAUGUGACAAAUUUCAGCCAUAAUCACUUGCCACGUGUCAAAUAAUAAGUCAUUCUUCUUUUGACCAAGCUUUAUAUUAAAAAAAAUCUAAGAUUAAACAGUUGAUAUUUGUUGGGAAAACCACUAGUACGAGGUGAGGAAGCUUCCUAUAAAUAUGGGGUUUUGGUCCUCAUCCUUGCCAUCAAACAAAUUCAUAGCCACACCACAGCAGCAGUUCAACACGAAAAAGGAGUGAAUAUCAAGACUUGCUCUUCAAGAAAAGAGAGAACCAAUUUUCAUGCAGCUAAACUAAUGGCAAUAAGUAUGCACAUGCUAUUUUAGACUGAUCACAAUGCUCCUGUCCUGGGUCCUGGACUCCUGGGAAGAUUCCUGAAACUUAUAACAUAAUUACACAAGAGAAGCUGAUAGGAAUGGAUAGGUCCACUUGGUUGGACUUCCAAUGUCCAAACACAGUUGGGAACUAUUUUGAAAGUGUGCCUCCAUUGUUCUUGGAAAGAAAGCCUCAUGUAAAUUGUGCUAAUAAGGGAAAAGGUGUAGGGCAUUUGAGGUGCAUUUUACAAUACAUACAGCAAAAAGGAAUUAGAAAAGGUGCAUGACAGUUGAGGUGCAUUUUGCUUCAUCAUAAUUGUGCUAGUACUAAUUCCUUUUAACCAUGUGGGAGAUGUCUAGCCAACCUGAACAUCUGGGUCAGCAUGGCUUUCUGCAAUUCUUGGGUUUCUACUUUACAUUUGAUAGUAGCUCCACUUUCAGAGAGUUAUAUCUUGCUUUUCUGGAUGAGUUCAUAUCCUCCUUUGAAUGGCGUGCAUCUUGAAUACAAUUGUAGUUCUCGGAGGGAGUUAUUCAAGGUCAUGUAUAUAUGGUGGUCAAAUAGAUUCAAUCAAUGAGUUAAAACAGUAGGAUUCUUUAUAAGUCCAGGAUUUCUUCAUUUCUUUCCUUCCUAGGAUUUUAUGAAAAAUUUUCUUAGCUGAAUGUAUUGAAAAACAAGUUAUUAUGAUCCAACCUUCUUCUCAUGUAGCAGGUUUUAGCCAAAUAAUCUUUCUACAUUAUGUAAAAAUAUGCACCUUUCUUCUAAGCACUUCCCCUCUUUCUUUCUUA